rnacentral:snRNA from 1 species
CCGGAACCGGGACGUGGCGGUU